ACUUGGCUGGCUUAGUCGGUAGAGCACGUGACUCUUAUUCUCAGGGUCGUGAGUUCAAGCCUCAUGUUGGGUG
rnacentral:tRNA from 1 species